GGAAAACACACUGAGUCGUAACAGUGACAUCAAAAUACUUUUGAAGUUGACUGAAAAUGUGGUUGCUUUUGUUUGAGAAUGGCAAAUUAAAGAAUUGGAUAUUGGGUUCUUAUCUCAGAAGAAACAAAGGAGGAGACCCUGAAAAACUGAACAUGAAGAGGAAGAAGUGGAGUUAUGCAACUCUUCAUAAGGCUGGUUCCACCACCGGUCAGAAGAAUGAAAAUUGCAGAUACCUAUUCUGUGUGUUUCUCUCCAGAAUGGUGGAUGUUAGAGACCCUACUAAGGAUUUGUGGACUCACUAACGUAGUCUCUAAAAGGUGCUACAUCUGUACAAAUGAAUCCAAUGUUUCCAUGUGAGUCCAAAGUUCUCAAAUUCUUCACUGGCAGCAUUAUACAUUUUGGUGUAAAGUCUAUUUUCAUGGUUUAAAAAGUCAGACUAUUUUCCUGGGACAUUUGAUGAUAGAGAAUAAUUCAAUUUGCCAAAUAAUAUUAUUUUAAUUGACUUGCUUCCCAAACUGACUCUUGUCUAGCAAUUACACUUAUAGGUAUAAUUGUAUUUUUGUAUAAGUCUGAUUGAACAACCUUUGAAAUAUUUAUGCACAUUUAAAAUAAGAGGCUAUGUUUCACCAAUGGUUAUCAAUAAAAAAU
rnacentral:lncRNA from 1 species